AACUCUAAAAGCAUAUUGUUUUUUAAUUAACUAAUAUAUAGUCUUUCAUUCAUUUACUUACUUAUCUUAAAAAUAAUGAAAUAUAAAAAAGGUUUAAAGUUGAGAAUAGUUUUGAUCUUUACUAGUGUGAUUCUAUCGCCAAGUUUCUUGAAGGUGAUUAAUCAUUUCUCGAUACAAAUGUUGCAAAAAGUAGUUAAUUUUUUAUUAUGGUUAAAUGUUUUAAGGGUAAAUUACUAUCAUAAAUUAAAUAAAAACUUUUGAUCUGUAAUUAUAUACAUAAUGCUCACUUUACAAAUAAACAUAAUUUACACAAAAUUUGUGAAUUGAUUAAAACACUAAUGUAUUGCUUCUAUGCCCAAUAAAACUUACACUAAAUUGUCCCAUAUCAAUUACACAGUGUUAUCUUUUGAAUUUAGAAAUAGAAGUUAUUAAAUGUUGGUGGCUCAUAAUGCAGUGCAUUUAAGAAGGGCAUGCUUUCAAAGGUUAAGACUACUUUCCUGAUUCCUACAACAA
rnacentral:lncRNA from 1 species